GUUUGACGUUAGCGACAGAAGAAGCACCGGCUAACUCCGUGCCAGCAGCCGCGGUAAUACGGAGGGUGCGAGCGUUAAUCGGAAUUACUGGGCGUAAAGCGCAUGCAGGUGGUUUGUUAAGUCAGAUGUGAAAGCCCGGGGCUCAACCUCGGAAUAGCAUUUGAAACUGGCAGACUAGAGUACUGUAGAGGGGGGUAGAAUUUCAGGUGUAGCGGUGAAAUGCGUAGAGAUCUGAAGGAAUACCGGUGGCGAAGGCGGCCCCCUGGACAGAUACUGACACUCAGAUGCGAAAGCGUGGGGAGCAAACAGGAUUAGAUACCCUGGUAGUCCACGCCGUAAACGAUGUCUACUUGGAGGUUGUGGCCUUGAGCCGUGGCUUUCGGAGCUAACGCGUUAAGUAGACCGCCUGGGGAGUACGGUCGCAAGAUUAAAACUCAAAUGAAUUGACGGGGGCCCGCACAAGCGGUGGAGCAUGUGGUUUAAUUCGAUGCAACGCGAAGAACCUUACCUACUCUUGACAUCCAGAGAACUUUCCAGAGAUGGAUUGGUGCCUUCGGGAACUCUGAGACAGGUGCUGCAUGGCUGUCGUCAGCUCGUGUUGUGAAAUGUUGGGUUAAGUCCCGCAACGAGCGCAACCCUUAUCCUUGUUUGCCAGCGAGUAAUGUCGGGAACUCCAGGGAGACUGCCGGUGAUAAACCGGAGGAAGGUGGGGACGACGUCAAGUCAUCAUGGCCCUUACGAGUAGGGCUACACACGUGCUACAAUGGCGCAUACAGAGGGCGGCCAACUUGCGAGAGUGAGCGAAUCCCAAAAAGUGCGUCGUAGUCCGGAUUGGAGUCUGCAACUCGACUCCAUGAAGUCGGAAUCGCUAGUAAUCGUGGAUCAGAAUGCCACGGUGAAUACGUUCCCGGGCCUUGUACACACCGCCCGUCACACCAUGGGAGUGGGCUGCAAAAGAAGUAGGUAGUUUAACCUUCGGG
rnacentral:rRNA from 1 species